CUUUCCUACGGGGGGCAGCAGUGAGGAAUAUUGGUCAAUGGGCGGGAGCCUGAACCAGCCAAGUCGCGUGAAGGAAGAAGGUACUUAGUAUUGUAAACUUCUUUUGCCGGGGAGCAAGCCUGAGCACGUGUGCCCAGGCGGAGAGUACCCGGAGAAAAAGCAUCGGCUAACUCCGUGCCAGCAGCCGCGGUAAUACGGAGGAUGCGAGCGUUAUCCGGAUUUAUUGGGUUUAAAGGGUGCGCAGGCGGGCUGUUAAGCCGGCGGUAAAAAUUCAGGGCUCAACCCUGUCGAGCCGUCGGAACUGG
rnacentral:rRNA from 1 species